GUGCUGGCUUCAGCAGCACAUAUUACUAAAAUUGGAACAAUACAGAGAUUAGCAUGGCCCCUGUACAAGGAUGGCAUGCAAAAUUGUAAAGCGUUCCAUAUUAAA